rnacentral:lncRNA from 1 species
GGUAACUUGCUGGGUUCCUUUCCCAGCAGUGUGGAAGCUUUGUUCUUUUGCUCUUUGCGCUAAAUCUUGCUGCUGCUCACUCUGGUCUUUGGGUCAGUACUGCCUUUAUGAGCUGUAAUACUUACUGCUAAGGUCUGUAGCUUCACUUCUGAGCCAGCAAGACCAUGAACCCACCAGAAGGAGGAAACUCGGAACACAUCCAAACAUCAGAAGGAACAAACUCCAGACGCACUGCCUGUAAGAACUGUAACACUCACUGCGAGGGUCUGUGGCUUCAUUCUUGAAGUCAGUGAGACCAUAGAACCCACCAAUUCCGGACACAGGGAUAGAGCAGUGACCAUCUAAGGGCUCUCAGGGCCAGGCCGGGAGCCAGGAAGAGCAGCUGCGUCGGAGCUGGGCAGCUUUUGGGGUCCGUGGGUCACUGUCAACUGGACUUUGCAUCCAGGAAGCGUUGGUUCCUUUUACAGAGUGUCACUGUGAUAGUGGGGUGUGUUCGUGUUUUACACGUUUAAAAUGGUGCUGGAUGCCUGACAGAGCCCUCAUGACUGUUUAACACAUUUUCUUGAAAUCACAAAAUUGACUAUAAAAUGUUCCUCGGAAGUUUUCCAGACUGCGGGCAUCCUGGAACACCGGCCAGUUUUCACCUGUUUCUGGACGUUGUGUCGUGGAGCCGUCUUUGUAAGGGACUCGGAUCACGCGUUUUCUUUGCUGAGUCGCCUUCCACGUGGCUUUGUCUGUUCUGUGGUUGGGGCGUCUCCUCCCUCCCACACGGGGUGUGCUGUGCCACCCUUGGAGGGCCUUCUCCCAUCGGGCCCCGCAUCUCCCGCCUGGCCUGUGGAGUGGAGUCCCCUGCCCUUGCUGCUGCUGUGGCCUCAUCUCCCAACUCAGCCUUGGCCUCCAGUGACAGGGCUGGAACCCUGGCAGCAGAGCCACCACGGCAGCGACUCAGCUGUGGCCUCCGGUGACAGGGCCGGGACCCCAGCAGGACCUCCACCAUGGUGGCAAGGCCUGGACCCCAGUGUGGGAUCACGCUUCUGCAGGUGCUGGGGGGCUGCAUGGCCGACUUCAGGGGGCAGGAAAAUGAUGCUUUGUCUUUGGAGAGGGAGGAUGUGGGACAAGCUGCCAGGAAAGCGGCGCUUCUGAUCAGAAAAACAACACAAGGAUCUCAGAGGCAGGACAGAGUGGGAUCCGAGGGACCGCGUGGUGUUUCUGGCCCCCUUCCCUCUCGAUGGCUGAUUAUUCAGAGUGUUCACACCCAGCAAAGGAGCAGGCUGCUCGUUCCCGACUGCAGCACGGCGUGCCGGGCCGCGGUGUUCUUUCUGGAUCACUGGUUUCCUCAGCAGCAGCGCUAACAGCCGCCCGGCAUGUCGGGCUCAAUGCAUCAGGUCUAAUCAGAUGUGGCAGCUGCUGAAACCCAAAUGCCUCCAUCCAACCAAAGCAUCUCAAUGCUGCCAGUGGUCUCUGGCUGAGCCGCCUCCAAUUCAAAUGCACGUGACAGGGUCCCUGGCUGCAACCCAGGUUGGAGAAUCCGGGAUUAGAAGGCUGAGGACUUCGGACAACCAAACCCAGGUCUCUGCCAGAUGGCUGGGCCUGGCUUCACCUGUGUGUGGGUGGGAAGGAGCCGUUGGCCAACUGGUCUCUAGAGAUGGAGACCCUGACCUGGGUCAAGAGUGACGGGAGAUGCCAGGAGGACCUGGCCAGGGCGCCGUCUUGGUUUUUCACCCAUUCUGUCUUCCUUCCCUGACCCAUGACUCGGGUUUCCAAUAUUUAAAAUACUCUCAUCCUGGACCCUGCAAUCUAAAGAUGAUUUUCUUGCAGAGGCUGAGUGAGCUGGCUCUGACCCACCAGAUGUACCGGGCCCUGAGCUGGACCCUGGUGUCCAGAAGUGGACACAGCCCCUGUGGGGCUCCAGCCUGUGGGGUUGGGGGGUGAUGAGGGACUCCUUCAAGAACGGAUGCAGUGCCUGGCAGGGCUGCAGGCUGCUGCCCACAGAGGGGCCUUUGCAGCUGUCCCUGAUGAAGUUGCCUGGGCACACCAGAGUGUGGGAGAGUGGACGGCGCGGCCCCUCCUGCACUUGGAGCUGCUCUCAGAUCUUGGGCUGUGACCCCUGUGGGUGACACGAAGUUCAGUGAUUGUCCUCCUUCUGGACUGAGGGACAUCCAUCCACACGCGCCCCCUCCACAGCCCGAUCCCAUCACGUCCUGCUCGUCCAACAUGGGCCUUAGAUCCUGGGGUCUCUGCUGAGUGCCUCCCCUCUGAACGCCCGGCUGGCACUUUCACGGUGAAGCCAGCUGUCAUGGACACCGACGGCAGGUGGCCUUUCUGCGUUGUCUACCGGCUGAUCUUGAAAGUGAAAACGGACAUUGUCUGCCCUGUGGUGACCGUGUUGGGUGAUGGUCCUGGGGUCAGGCCCUGCAUGCACCUUCACCCAGGGAUGGCUUCUUAGCUGACAGCGGCUCUGCCAGGAACCACGAUCACCCUCCAGUUUGCUCUUUGUGCUGAAUUUUAUUGACAUGAAAUUCGCAUGACGCCAACUUUAUCGUUUUAAAGUGAAUGGUUAAACAGAAUGCGGCACUUUCACAGGGCGGCAUGACCCCCACCUCUGUCUGCCUUCAGAACAUUUUCAUCCCCCACGAAAGGAGGAAGCGCAGUCCCCAGGAACAGUUACUCCUCAUUUCCCCUCCCCAGCUCUGGCUUCCGCAACCACGAAUCUGCUUUCUGUCUCCGUGAAUUUGCCUCUUUCGGAUAUAUUUCACGUAAAUGGAGUCCCGUGAUAGAUGAGCUGUGUCUGCCUCUUGCGGGCAGCACAGUGUCUGGAAGGUUCUCCGUGCAGCCGCAGGGGUUGGCGCUUCCUUCCUCCCGAGGCUGACCCGGCCCCGUCGUACGGGGAGUCCACUGUGUGUCUGUCUUUUGGCUGCUGUGAGCCUGGGUGUGCCGCCUGCUCCAGCCCAUGUUUUCAGCUCUUUCAGGUGUGGAGGGAGGAGUGGAAUUGUGGGAUCAUAUUGUAACUUUAACUUUGGAAGGAUCUGCCAAAUUACCCCUCUAAUUUGUUUUCAAUUUUAUUCUUAUUUCCCUGUCACUUGUUCUUUCUUUUGACUGGUUAAAAAAAAUGGCAAAGGUCUUCAGCAAAACAAGAAGUGAGUUUCAAUUGAACCGUGAAUUAAAUAUGAUACACUCAAAAUCUGACCAAUAAUACAUUUUAAUUUUCCCCACACAUUUACGUCCACGUUAAUUUCAUGGAAAUCAAGAUGCUUUUGCCUCUGUUCUAAAGUAUUUAUUUUUUUUAAGACAGGUUCUUACUCUGUUGCCCAGGCUGGAGUGCAAUGGCGCGAUCUCAGCUCACUGCAGUCUUGACCUCCCAGGCUCAAGCAAUCCUCCUGCCUCAGCCUCCUGAGUAGCUGGGACCACAGGUGUGCAUCACCAUGCCUGGCUAAUUUGUUACAUUUUUAGUAGAGACGGGGUUUCACCAUGUUGGCCAGGCUGGUCUGGAACUCCUGACCUGAAGCGAUCCUCCCACCUCAGCCUCCCACAGUGCUGGGAUUACAGGCGUGAGCCACCACGUGCAGCCUGAAAGUAUUUUUUUUUAGAGUUUCCUAAAAGUUUCAUCAUCCCUUUUGUUUUCCUAACAAGCUGUGAAACCCAGUGGGUUUUAAUUGUGAAUCAGCACCAAAACACAUGCAGAUUUAAUUUUUAAUUGAAAUGAUGGACAAUAAACAGAAUUAAUAACUCAAAUGCUUGAAGUCUGUCAAGCAUGGUGCUUUGUCUUUGCCAUGGACAUGAAAAAGCAGCAUUCCCCUCCGGACUUGAGGCUGGGGACCUUCUGAGUCAGAGCAGCCCCUCCCUCCCCACCUCCACGGCUGUUUCCACUUUGCCAUCUCCCCAGCGGGCUCUGCCCGUCCACCUGUGAGACACUCUGACUCCACGGCUUGGCUUCUGCUUGCCCCAGGCAGUGGGAUUCGGUGGCCAGGCCCUCAUUUGUUUCCCCCUCCUCCUUUCCCCAGCAGCUCCUGGCCUGGCAUGCAGCAGGUGCUCUGCUGGGCGAGUGGGAGGAGGGAGCAUAGCCACCGCUGCAGGUGGUCUGUUUGGUGCUGGGAGACGUCAUGCGUGUGUUGUCAGGCACUGGAACCCCCUGGGAGGGUGCAGGGCAGGUUUAGGACAGCCACGUGUGCCCAGAUCUAUGAGACCUUUGUGGGCUCGACUGAGUUGGGGGCUGGGCACAGAGCUUGGAGACCUCUUACUGGGAGCUGUGUGAGUGGCAGGGCCAAGGCUGUGGGGGCUGCAGGAGCUGGUGAGGAGGCAUGUGCUCGGCCGUCAUGGGACUGUCCCUGGGACUCCUGCAGCUGGGGUAGGCUCCAGGCAGGGCUCUGAGCUGCCCCCACACACCUCCAUGCAACCCCAGCUCCAUGUGCUGCUGGAAAGUCCCUGAGUACCAGGGGGGCACCUGGGGAGGGGCCUGAGUCCUGCAGACAGACCUGGGAUGGGGGUGUCAUCCACAGGUGAGGAGUGGUCCGUGCCAGGGACAGGCAGAGCCGCCAGCAUGGGCCCUGCUGGGAUCUCCGAUUGGGAAAACCAUCCCGCCACGGGAGGUGGCCAAGGUGCGUCCCCCAGCCUAUGCAUUGGGGUCCUGGUUCCAUCCCCGCCUCUCCUGUGGGCCGCACUCAGUGCCUUUUCCAUGUAACCCGUGCCGUGUGCGGUGCUCAGAGGAGGAGCGAUCGUCAUGGGGAGCUGCAGUGCCUUUUCCAUGUAACCCGCGCCGUGUGCGGGGCUCCGAGGAGGAGAGGACGUCACGGGGAGCUGCGGUGCCUUUUCCAUGUAACCCGCGCCGUGUGCGGGGCUCGGAGGAGGAGCGGUCAUCACGGGGAGCUGCAGCGCGUCUGGUGAUGUGGGGCUCACAGGCUCCUAAUGAGGCUCUCAGUCUUGUUUAUUGCGUUCUUGCUGGAAGAUUUUUUUUCUGAAACGUAGGCACAGAAUGAACUUGAAAUAUUGAGCUCUGCUUGAAAUAAAAAUGUCUUGAUAAUUAGAACCUUUGCCUGAACAGAUUCCUGUGGGGCUGCGCUGUGCAGGCUGGUUACGGGUGGGGCUCUGCUGCCCACCGAGUCAUUGCUCAAAGGCAAACGGGUCAAGCCACCGAG